AUUGAACGCAGGCGGCAUGCCUUACACAUGCAAGUCGAACGGCAGCACGGGUGCUUGCACCUGGUGGCGAGUGGCGAACGGGUGAGUAAUACAUCGGAACGUACCUUAUCGUGGGGGAUAACGCAGCGAAAGCUGUGCUAAUACCGCAUACGCCCUGAGGGGGAAAGCGGGGGAUCGAAAGACCUCGCGCGAUUAGAGCGGCCGAUGCCUGAUUAGCUUGUUGGUGGGGUAAAAGCCCACCAAGGCGACGAUCAGUAGCUGGUCUGAGAGGACGAUCAGCCACACUGGGACUGAGACACGGCCCAGACUGCUACGGGAGGCAGCAGUGGGGAAUUUUGGACAAUGGGGGCAACCCUGAUCCAGCAAUGCCGCGUGAGUGAAGAAGGCCUUCGGGUUGUAAAGCUCUUUUGUCAGGGAAGAAACACCGGCUCUAACACAGUCCGGGAAUGACGGUACCUGAAGAAUAAGCACCGGCUAACUACGUGCCAGCCGCCGCUGUAA
rnacentral:rRNA from 1 species